rnacentral:rRNA from 1 species
UACGUAGGAGGCAAGCGUUGUCCGGAAUUAAUGGGAGUAAAGGGUGUGUAGGUGGUGGGAGAAGUGUGUUGUGAAAGCGCCUGGCUUAACCGGGCGAGGUCGGCGGAAACUGUUCGACUCGAGGACGGUAGAGGGGGGUGGAAUUCCCGGUGUAGAGGUGAAAUUCGUAGAUAUUCGGAGGAACACCAGUGGCGAAGGCGGCUCACUGGCUCGGUACUGACGCUGAGGUGCGAAAGCGUGGGGAGCAAACAGG